CGAAAAGGGCGUUUGGUGGAUGCCUUGGCAGUAAGAGGCGAUGAAGGACGUGAUACUCUGCGAUAAGCCAUGAGGAGCUGAGAAUAAGCUUUGAUCCAUGGAUUUCCGAAUGGGGCAACCCACCUGAUACUUU
rnacentral:rRNA from 1 species